CGGACGGGUGAGGAAUACAUCGGAAUCUACUCUGUCGUGGGGGAUAACGUAGGGAAACUUACGCUAAUACCGCAUACGACCUACGGGUGAAAGCAGGGGAUCUUCGGACCUUGCGCGAUUGAAUGAGCCGAUGUCGGAUUAGCUAGUUGGCGGGGUAAAGGCCCACCAAGGCGACGAUCCGUAGCUGGUCUGAGAGGAUGAUCAGCCACACUGGAACUGAGACACGGUCCAG
rnacentral:rRNA from 1 species